rnacentral:rRNA from 1 species
UACGAAGGGGGCUAGCGUUGCUCGGAAUCACUGGGCGUAAAGGGUGCGUAGGCGGGUCUUUAAGUCAGGGGUGAAAUCCUGGAGCUCAACUCCAGAACUGCCUUUGAUACUGAGGAUCUUGGAGUUCGGGAGAGGUGAGUGGAACUGCGAGUGUAGAGGUGAAAUUCGUAGAUAUUCGCAAGAACACCAGUGGCGAAGGCGGCUCACUGGCCCGAUACUGACGCUGAGGCACGAAAGCGUGGGGGAGCAAACAGG